rnacentral:rRNA from 1 species
GAUUCAGCGGCGGACGGGUGAGUAAUGCCUAGGAAUCUGCCUGGUAGUGGGGGAUAACGUCCGGAAACGGGCGCUAAUACCGCAUACGUCCUGAGGGAGAAAGUGGGGGAUCUUCGGACCUCACGCUAUCAGAUGAGCCUAGGUCGGAUUAGCUAGUUGGUGGGGUAAAGGCCUACCAAGGCGACGAUCCGUAACUGGUCUGAGAGGAUGAUCAGUCACACUGGAACUGAGACACGGUCCAGACUCCUACGGGAGGCAGCAGUGGGGAAUAUUGGACAAUGGGCGAAAGCCUGAUCCAGCCAUGCCGCGUGUGUGAAGAAGGUCUUCGGAUUUAAAGCACUUUAAGUUGGAGGAAGGGCAGUAA